UGAGGAAUAUUGGGCAAUGCCCGCAAGGGUGACCCAGCAACGCCGCGUGGAGGAUGAAUGUCGUAAGAUUGUAAACUCCUGUUAGAGGGGAAGAAUAGUACCGGUUGGACCGGUAUAUGACUGUACCCUCAGAGAAAGCCCCGGCUAACUACGUGCCAGCAGCCGCGGUAAUACGUAGGGGGCAAGCGUUGUCCGGAUUUACUGGGUGUAAAGGGCGCGCAGGCGGGAUAAAAAGUCAGUGGUGAAAUCCUACAGCUUAACUGUAGAACUGCCUUUGAUACUUUUAGUCUUGAGUUCGGGAGAGAGAGACGGAAGUCCAGGUGUAGUGGUGAAAUACGUAGAUAUCUGGAAGAACACCAGUUGCGAAGGCGGUCUCUUGGUCCGACACUGACGCUGAGGCGCUAAAGCGUGGGGAGCAA
rnacentral:rRNA from 1 species